rnacentral:tRNA from 7 species
GGGUUGCUAACUCAACGGUAGAGUACUCGGCUUUUAACCGACCAGUUCCGGGUUCGAAUCCCGGGCAACCCA